CUCUCAGCCUCAAACUCACAACCUUUGCCCAGUGAUCUCCUACGGCAUUUCGUCUCCUCGGCGUCUCUGAGUGAGAGUCUCCUUGCUUCUAGUCAACUCUGAUUCUGGAUCGUUGCUCAAAUAGAACAACCAAUUCACAAGCUGAUCUAGAUUGUAUAAAGGAAGGAACCAAACAACGUUUAUACCAAGAGUUUCCCAUGACAUGCGUUCUAUUUUUCUUAACUUA